ensembl:rRNA 5S_rRNA 5S ribosomal RNA
GCCUACGGCCAUACCACCCUGAACGCGCCCCAUCUCGUCUGACCUCAGCAGCUAAGCAGGGUCGGGCCUGGUUAGCACUUGGAUGGGAGAAACGAGUGUCCUUCCGAGUGCCCAGCUUCUACAGAGU